UACGUAGGGUGCGAGCGUUGUCCGGAAUUAUUGGGCGUAAAGAGCUCGUAGGCGGUGUGUCGCGUCGGCCGUGAAAACCUGGGGCUCAACUCUGGGCGUGCGGUCGAUACGGGCAUCACUAGAGUUCGGCAGGGGAGACUGGAAUUCCUGGUGUAGCGGUGAAAUGCGCAGAUAUCAGGAGGAACACCGGUGGCGAAGGCGGCUUCCUGGUCCAGCACCGACGUUCAGGCACGAAAGCGUGGGGAGCGAACCGG
rnacentral:rRNA from 1 species